GAUGAACGCUAGCUACAGGCUUAACACAUGCAAGUCGAGGGGAAACGACAUCGAAAGCUUGCUCUUGAUGGGCGUCGACCGGCGCACGGGUGAGUAACGCGUAUCCAACCUGCCCACCACUUGGGGAUAACCUUGCGAAAGUAAGACUAAUACCCAAUGAUAUCUCUAGAGGACAUCUGAAAGGGAUUAAAGAUUUAUCGGUGAUGGAUGGGGAUGCGUCUGAUUAGCUUGUUGGCGGGGUAACGGCCCACCAAGGCUACGAUCAGUAGGGGUUCUGAGAGGAAGGUCCCCCACAUUGGAACUGAGGCACGGUCCAAACUCCUACGGGAGGCAGCAGUGAGGAAUAUUGGUCAAUGGACGGGGGUCUGAACCAGCCAAGUAGCGUGCAGGAUGACGGCCCUAUGGGUUGUAAACUGCUUUUAUAAGGGAAUAAAGUGGGAGUCGUGACUCCUUUUGCAUGUACCUUAUGAAUAAGGACCGGCUAAUUCCGUGCCAGCCGCCGCUGUAA
rnacentral:rRNA from 1 species